rnacentral:misc_RNA from 1 species
UUUCCGUAGGUGAACCUGCGGAAGGAUCAUUCAUAAUAAGUGUUUUACGGCACUUUUUUAAAUCCAUAUCCACCUUGUGUGCAAUGUCAGGGUUGAUUUUUCUCUCGAGAGGAUCAACCCCAAACAUCAACUAUAUCUCAACUCUUUGUCUGAAAAAUAUUAUGAAUAAAACAAUUCAAAAUACAACUUUCAACAACGGAUCUCUUGGCUCUC